rnacentral:rRNA from 1 species
GACGAACGCUGGCGGCGUGCUUAACACAUGCAAGUCGAACGAGGCUCCACCUUCGGGUGGUGUUCUAGUGGCGAACGGGUGAGUAACACGUGGGCAACCUGCCCUCAGCUCUGGGAUAACUCCGGGAAACCGGGGCUAAUACCGGAUAUGACCACUCUUGGCAUCUUGGGUGGUGGAAAGUUUUUCGGCUGAGGAUGGGCCCGCGGCCUAUCAGCUUGUUGGUGGGGUGAUGGCCUACCAAGGCGACGACGGGUAGCCGGCCUGAGAGGGUGACCGGCCACACUGGGACUGAGACACGGCCCAGACUCCUACGGGAGGCAGCAGUGGGGAAUAUUGCGCAAUGGGCGGAAGCCUGACGCAGCGACGCCGCGUGAGGGACGAAGGCCUUCGGGUUGUAAACCUCUUUCAGCAGGGACGAAGCGAAAGUGACGGUA